GCGUUCCGCCCCCCAACAUCAACCUGCGUUGGAGCUUCGAGCGGCGGUGAUCAACACUCUUCCCCGCCGCCAGGGGGAGACGCGCCCAGCAAUACUCCUCCCCGCCGCCAGGGGGCAGCGUCGUCUCGCCAACACCCUCCGCCCCGCCCCGCCAAUGGCGCCCAACGGUCAAGAUUUAAAGCCAGACUAAACGGAGGAGGUGGGACUGAGGUAAAACCCGAUCGUAUUUACCGAGACAGAGACAGAGACAGAGAGAGAGAGAGAGAAAAACCCCAACACGGAUGACAUACAUGGCCAGGCAGCAAAAGCAAAGAGACAUGAAGAG